UUGCAUCCUGCAGAAAGCUAGAGCUCCUCAUGUGACCUUUGGUCCUGAAGGGAAGUUUUACAUGGUUAGAGGUUUGGGACAAAAGUUGGGACAGAAAACAAGCAUGGAAGACUCAUUGGCCUUGAACUGAGGCCAGAUUUUAGAGGGCAUAUGGUGGAGGAACCUGAACAAGAACUGAGUGUGCAAUGGAAGAGGCUGGGCCUUAGACGCGACUGUGUGCAGCCAGUGAGAGAAUCAACUUUCCCCAGUUGAGAACUCCUGUGGGCCUUGGUGAUGAACCUUCCAUACAGCACUUCAAAUGCGUAAGAAAGUACAAACUUUCCAC
rnacentral:lncRNA from 1 species